GAUGAACGCUGGCGGCGUGCCUAAUACAUGCAAGUCGAGCGAACAGACGAGGAGCUUGCUCCUCUGACGUUAGCGGCGGACGGGUGAGUAACACGUGGAUAACCUACCUAUAAGACUGGGAUAACUUCGGGAAACCGGAGCUAAUACCGGAUAAUAUAUUAAACCGCAUGGUUCAAUAGUGAAAGACGGUUUUGCUGUCACUUAUAGAUGGAUCCGCGCCGCAUUAGCUAGUUGGUAAGGUAACGGCUUACCAAGGCAACGAUGCGUGGCCGACCUGAGAGGGUGAUCGGCCACACUGGAACUGAGACACGGUCCAGACUCCUACGGGAGGCAGCAGUAGGGAAUCUUCCGCAAUGGGCGAAAGCCUGACGGAGCAACGCCGCGUGAGUGAUGAAGGUCUUCGGAUCGUAAAACUCUGUUAUUAGGGAAGAACAAAUGUGUAAGUAACUAUGCACGUCUUGACGGUACCUAAUCAGAAAGCCACGGCUAACUACGUG
rnacentral:rRNA from 1 species